ACGGGUGAGUAACGCGUGGGAACCUACCUAUUGCUGCGGAAUAACUCAGGGAAACUUGAGCUAAUACCGCAUGUGCCCUUCGGGGGAAAGAUUUAUCGGCAAUAGAUGGGCCCGCGUCGGAUUAGCUAGUUGGUGGGGUAACGGCCUACCAAGGCGACGAUCCGUAGCUGGUCUGAGAGGAUGAUCAGCCACACUGGGACUGAGACACGGCCCAGACUCCUACGGGAGGCAGCAGUGGGGAAUAUUGGACAAUGGGCGCAAGCCUGAUCCAGCCAUGCCGCGUGAGUGAUGAAGGCCUUAGGGUUGUAAAGCUCUUUCGCCGGUGAAGAUAAUGACGGUAACCGGAGAAGAAGCCCCGGCUAACUUCGUGCCAGCAGCCGCGGUAAUACGAAGGGGGCUAGCGUUGUUCGGAAUUACUGGGCGUAAAGCGCACGUAGGCGGAUGUUUAAGUCGGGGGUGAAAUCCCAGGGCUCAACCCUGGAACUGCCUUCGAUACUGGGCAUCUUGAGUCCGAGAGAGGUGAGUGGAAUUCCGAGUGUAGAGGUGAAAUUCGUAGA
rnacentral:rRNA from 1 species